rnacentral:lncRNA from 1 species
AAAAAAUUAUAAAAAAGUCCACAAAAUAAUUUAAAAUAAUUAAUUACUAUUUAUUAAGUAAUUUAUGAAAUCAAUAAAUUAUUUAAAUAUUCACUAAAGAAAUAAUAAUUAAAACAUAAUUACUAAUUCAAGUAAUUAAAAAAGAUUAAGCUAUUACUUAAUUACACAUAUUAAACUAAAGAAGUUGGAAAAAGAGAGUAAAGAAACUAAUUUUAUAUGUUUAAAAUUUAAACUUUAAAAAUAAAAAUAAAAUA